CAAAGUGGAAGAUGAUUAUGGGUUCCUGUCACUGAGCUGAAAAAAACUCUUGGAAAGACAUCUGCUUUUCUUUCUUGUUUAAAAGUUUAAUAGGCUUAAUUUAGAGCAGAGUUGUCGUUUGGAUAUGGACAGCCUCCUGUGUCGAACUGUCCCCAACACAGCAAUUUUCAGAGUCCAGGAAGUGGUUGGAUCAUGAGGCCUCAGACUCCUCGGGUCUUUGCUCAGUGAAGACUAUUAAGAGGGGCACAACUGCAGAAGGCAUGGUCGGUUGGUCUCGCGCUCUCUCUCCUUCCUGUCAGCCACGAGGUGAGCAGCUGUGCUCCUCCAGACUCCUGGCUUCACUAAAGGCCCACAGCCAUGGGGGCAAGAGGUUUCUGUGCUCUUCAGCUUCCUGCUCAGCACUAGUGAACUCUCCUGUCUGAGCACCACGAUGACAGAAGCAGAGGCUUCAGUGGAAAUGUUAAGGACAGACCUUGAAUUCACAGGUGGCCUGGAGAAAGCAGGACGUGAUGCUGACUCCAAUAGGUGGGGCAAGGGAGUGGAAGUUCACUGAACUGGACAGAGAAGAAUUGGGGGAAGGGAGGAGAGAUGUGAAUGGGAAAGCAGUAGAAUGAAUUGGACAUAACUUUCCUGUGUUCACAAUCACUGUAACUGCACACCAUGUACAACCACAAGAAUGGGAAGUUCUACUCCAUGUAUGUAUGGUAUGUCUGAACACUCUACUGUCAUGUAUAAUAAAGAGAAAGAAAUUUAAAAAUUAAAAAAAAAAAGAAAUUAGACCAUAAGUUGUUUUACUU